rnacentral:rRNA from 1 species
GAUGAACGCUGGCGGCGUGCCUAAUACAUGCAAGUCGAGCGAAUGGAUUAAGAGCUUGCUCUUAUGAAGUUAGCGGCGGACGGGUGAGUAACACGUGGGUAACCUGCCCAUAAGACUGGGAUAACUCCGGGAAACCGGGGCUAAUACCGGAUAACAUUUUGAACCGCAUGGUUCGAAAUUGAAAGGCGGCUUCGGCUGUCACUUAUGGAUGGACCCGGGUCGCAUUAGCUAGUUGGUGAGGUAACGGCUCACCGAGGCAACGAUGCGUAGCCGACCUGAGAGGGUGAUCGGCCACACUGGGACUGAGACACGGCCCAGACUCCUACGGGAGGCAGCAGUAGGGAAUCUUCCGCAAUGGACGAAAGUCUGACGGAGCAACGCCGCGUGAGUGACGAAGGCUUUCGGGUCGUAAAACUCUGUUGUUAGGGAAGAACAAGUGCUAGUUGAAUAAGCUGGCACCUUGACGGUACCUAACCAGAAAGCCACGGCUAACUACGUGCCAGCCGCCGCGGUAA